rnacentral:lncRNA from 1 species
GGGGAGUGGAGAUUCCUGCGCGGCCUGGGAGGCGCGCGGCUGGCGGCCAGGGCGGCUUCUGGGAAGCCGAGUUUCGCGCAGGCGGCGGCAGCGGUGGCGGCAGCUCUUCCCUGAACUGGAAGCCGAAUGGAACUCUCAGAACAGAAUACAAUAUGCGGUCCACAGCAUCGGCUGACAGUAACCUUCACUCCUUUUCUACACUCCACUUCGUUUUUAAUAAAAGCAAAACAAAGGUUGGUAGUUUUUUUCCUAAACAGUUGUAUGCACUUGACGCACUGAAAUCACAACUUGUUAUGCUACUGUUAAGCUAAAUCACUUCUAUGUCAUUUUGAGAUCUCAGUGCUGAACUUUGUCUUUAUCACUAUUAAAUUUCCUCUAUAGAAAUUCCAGACUGAUAAGUUUUUUUGUAUCCUGGAUUUUCUCCCAAUCUGGACCUACUCCUCCCAGCACGACUUCCUUUAUUUCUGAAGCUGUAAAAUAUAAAUGUUCUGUGGCUUUGAAUGGAAAAAAUAGUUGAGGUCCCGAGCCAUUCUUAAUGGAGUCAAUGGAAAAUUAAGGGGAGGCCUUUAAAGGGAAGCAUUGUUUGAGAUCUUGGAAGUGAAAGGAGGAGAAAAUGUCGGGAAUAGCAUUGCUGCUUGAGUUAAUAUGUUGUUGAGUUUUUCCCUCAUCAAAUUUAUGUGUUUCCUGGGUGCAAGGCAGUUGUAAAUUGUGAGGUUGUAGAAUCUAAAAGGAUCUUUGAGGUCAUCUAGUUCAACCCUUCAAUUUACAAGUUUAAAAAGGGCCAGGAGCUUAUGAGUCAACAGAGGAAGGGAUUGUGAGGUUAGGAGCCAUCAUGGAUCAGAAAGGCAGAUAAAGGGAGGACAAAACUAGAGUCACAAGCUGAAUCCAGCAAGCUGAAUCCACGUGAGGAGGUUGAAGUAGGUUGCCUGAGUCAUAAGCUGAUUUAUGUAUGGCUUAGCAAGCUUUUGCUUCAGUUUCUGUGUUCCUUUUAGAGAGGCCAAGGACACUAAUUAAUAUCAAUUGUAUGCCCCC